rnacentral:rRNA from 1 species
CCUACGGGAGGCAGCAGUGGGGAAUAUUGCACAAUGGGGGAAACCCUGAUGCAGCAACGCCGCGUGAGUGAAGAAGGUUUUCGGAUUGUAAAGCUCUGUUAGCAGGGAAGAGGAAGGACGGUAACUAAGGAGCAAGCCACGGCUAACUACGUGCCAGCAGCCGCGGUAAUACGUAGGUGGCAAGCGUUGUCCGGAAUUACUGGGUGUAAAGGGAGCGUAGGCGGGAAGCCAAGUCAGCUGUGAAAACUACGGGCUUAACCUGUAGACUGCAGUUGAAACUGGCUUUCUUGAGUGAAGUAGAGGUUGGCGGAAUUCCGAGUGUAGCGGUGAAAUGCGUAGAUAUUCGGAGGAACACCGGUGGCGAAGGCGGCCAACUGGGCUUUAACUGACGCUGAGGCUCGAAAGUGUGGGGAGCAAACAGGAUUAGAUACCCCAGUAGUC